rnacentral:rRNA from 1 species
CCUACGGGAGGCUGCAGUGGGGAAUAUUGCACAAUGGGGGAAACCCUGAUGCAGCAACGCCGCGUGAGCGAUGAAGGCCUUCGGGUCGUAAAGCUCUGUCCUAAGGGAAGAAUACUGACGGUACCUUAGGAGGAAGCCCCGGCUAACUACGUGCCAGCAGCCGCGGUAAUACGUAGGGGGCUAGCGUUAUCCGGAAUUACUGGGCGUAAAGGGUGCGUAGGCGGCCCUUGAAGUUAGAGGUGAAAGGCUACGGCACAACCGUAGUAAGCCUUAGAAGCUGUAGGGCUUGGGUGUAGGAGUGGCGAGAGAAAUUCCCAGUGUAGCGGUGAAUUGCGUAGAUAUUGGGAGGAACACCAGUUGCGAAGGCGGACAUCUGGACUGUAACUGACGCUGAGGCACGAAAGCGUGGGGAGCGAUCAGGGUUAGAUACCCCUGUAGUC